CCCUACGGGAGGCAGCAGUGGGGAAUAUUGCGCAAUGGGGGCAACCCUGACGCAGCAACGCCGCGUGCAGGAAGAAGGUCUUCGGAUUGUAAACUGUUGUCGCAAGGGAAGAAGACAGUGACGGUACCUUGUGAGAAAGUCACGGCUAACUACGUGCCAGCAGCCGCGGUAAUACGUAGGGGGCAAGCGUUAUCCGGAUUUACUGGGUGUAAAGGGAGCGUAGACGGCAGUGCAAGUCCGGAGUGAAAGCCCGGGGCUCAACCCUGGGACUGCUCUGGAAACUGUAAAGCUGGAGUGCGGGAGGG
rnacentral:rRNA from 1 species